UACGAAGGGUGCAAGCGUUACUCGGAAUUACUGGCGUAAAGCGUGCGUAGGUGGUGAGUUAAGUCUGUCGUGAAAGCCCCGGGCUCAACCUGGGAAUGGCGAUGAUACUGGCUCGCUAGAGUGCGUAGAGAGAGUGGAAUUCCCGGUGUAGCAGUGAAAUGCGUAGAGAUCGGGAGGAACAUCAGUUGCGAAGGCGGCUCUCUGGACCAGCACUGACACUGAGGCACGAAAAGCGUGGG
rnacentral:rRNA from 1 species